AUGUGGCCCCUAUUUAGUUUUCUGAUUUUUUUUUUCCUAGAUUUGGCUGGGACAAAAGCGAAAGUGCUGACAUAUCCUGUGAGUCUCUUCUUGCAAGACUUACCAGAGGUCUCAGGGAAGCCUGAUUCUUUUCCUCAUCCCAGCCAAGUUCUGUGGUCAGAGGAACCGUGGAUUGCUUCACAUUUACGUUCUCAAAACAUCGUUUGGAGGUCGGCGAUGCUUCGCGGUAACUUUAACGCCUCGGGGAAUGGGAACGCCGCAGCUCCAGUUGCCACCGGAGAACAUCGGGGCCCACCGUCGCAGCGGCAGGUAACCGCUCCUCGCGGCGCUUUUAGCACCGCAGCUCCGGGGGAGCGACUUCUCACCGGGGCCGCGGCGCGGGGCUGAGAGUGCGGCCGGCCGGGCGCGGAGCGCAACGGGAGCGCAGCCACACGCGGCCCCGCGGAGCUGUGACACGCGUGCCCUAGGGGCUAAGCCUUCCGACGGCCCGGUCGAGUGCUUCGGGAGGAGGGGGGCGGGAUUCGCGCUCGGUGAGUCUCUAUCGGGGGAGACGGCGGGCUCGUAUCUGCGCUGGAUGCCGGGGUGCGCCUGGCCGCGGCAGGCACGGCCACGUCCCGGGGGCCUCGCCGUCCGCCCUGCCGGUAGGGGCGGGGAAAAGGUCGCGGCCCCCUGGCUGCCGGGAACGGCCCCCCACCCGCCGAGUUGCCCGGGAGGGCCGUCCGAGAUAAUGCGUGAGGUGCCGCCGGGUUCGUGUCUGCGGAGCUGCCGUCCGGGUUGGGUAGGGAAGGGAGAGUGCGGGUCUUCACCGGAGCCGUGCCGGGUGAAUCCCCGAAGCGGGCGCUCGUUGUGCUGCGGUCCUCCCGCAGCGGCUCAGCCGCCUCCUCCCCUCUAGGCACGGGCGGCUCGGGGGACGCGGACGUCUCCCGCACGGGGAGAGCACCUGGAAAGACAACACUUUCCCUCGCCGGGUCGGCUCGCCCCGGGCCGGGUCACUUCCCCUCGGUCCUGCAGGGGUGGCGGCUUCUCCGCUCGGUGCCCGGGGCUGCGACCCCGCCGCCCUCGGGGCUCCCGCGGGACGUGCGCGGGGCUGCAGGAAGCGGCACAGCACGUACUUACGGGGCCGCCCGCAUCCCUCUGGCGGUCUCGCCACGUCUCCCAAAGCGAAGGGAUGUUAGGGUGAGAUUUAGUGGCGCUUGCACCGGAGGAAGGGUGGGAGGGAUGCGUAGGAAAGAUAUAUUCUCCCACAGUAACCUCUCCCCCUCCGUCCCCGCGCCCCCCCCCCCCGUCCCCCUCCCCCGGCUGGCCCGGGUCCGUUCAGCAGAGCGGGCUGUGGGCAGCCCCUUGACGAAGGUUGUGUGAAUGGAGGAUCGUCGCGGCUGACUCCUCC
rnacentral:lncRNA from 1 species